AUUGAACGCUGGCGGCAGGCUUAACACAUGCAAGUCGAGCGGGGGGAGGUAGCUUGCUACCGGACCUAGCGGCGGACGGGUGAGUAAUGCUUAGGAAUCUGCCUAUUAGUGGGGGACAACAUCUCGAAAGGGAUGCUAAUACCGCAUACGCCCUACGGGAGAAAGAAGGGGAUCUUCGGACCUUGCGCUAAUAGAUGAGCCUAAGUCGGAUUAGCUAGUUGGUGGGGUAAAGGCCUACCAAGGCGACGAUCUGUAGCGGGUCUGAGAGGAUGAUCCGCCACACUGGGACUGAGACACGGCCCAGACUCCUACGGGAGGCAGCAGUGGGGAAUAUUGGACAAUGGGGGGAACCCUGAUCCAGCCAUGCCGCGUGUGUGAAGAAGGCCUUAUGGUUGUAAAGCACUUUAAGCGAGGAGGAGGCUACUUUAGUUAAUACCUAGAGAUAGUGGACGUUACUCGCAGAAUAAGCACCGGCUAACUCUGUGCCAGCCGCCGCCGUAA
rnacentral:rRNA from 1 species